rnacentral:rRNA from 1 species
GUGGGGAAUAUUGGACAAUGGGGGGAACCCUGAUCCAGCCAUGCCGCGUGUGUGAAGAAGGCCUUUUGGUUGUAAAGCACUUUAAGCGAGGAGGAGGCUACCGAGAUUAAUACUCUUGGAUAGUGGACGUUACUCGCAGAAUAAGCACCGGCUAACUCUGUGCCAGCAGCCGCGGUAAUACAGAGGGUGCGAGCGUUAAUCGGAUUUACUGGGCGUAAAGCGUGCGUAGGCGGCUUUUUAAGUCGGAUGUGAAAUCCCCGAGCUUAACUUGGGAAUUGCAUUCGAUACUGGGAAGCUAGAGUAUGGGAGAGGAUGGUAGAAUUCCAGGUGUAGCGGUGAAAUGCGUAGAGAUCUGGAGGAAUACCGAUGGCGAAGGCAGCCAUCUGGCCUAAUACUGACGCUGAGGUACGAAAGCAUGGGGAGCAAACAGGAUUAGAAACCCGGGUAGUCC